rnacentral:rRNA from 1 species
AUUGAACGCUGGCGGCAGGCCUAACACAUGCAAGUCGAGCGGAUGAAGGGAGCUUGCUCCUGGAUUCAGCGGCGGACGGGUGAGUAAUGCCUAGGAAUCUGCCUGGUAGUGGGGGAUAACGUCCGGAAACGGGCGCUAAUACCGCAUACGUCCUGAGGGAGAAAGUGGGGGUUCUUCGGACCUCACGCUAUCAGAUGAGCCUAGGUCGGAUUAGCUAGUUGGUGGGGUAAAGGCCUACCAAGGCGACGAUCCGUAACUGGUCUGAGAGGAUGAUCAGUCACACGGGAACUGAGACACGGUCCAUGCGCCUACGGUAGGCAGCAGUGGGGAAUAGUGGACAGUGGGCGAAAGCCUGAUCCAGCCAUGCCGCGUGUGUGAAGAAGGUCUUCGGAUUGUAAAGCACUUUAAGUUGGGAGGAAGGGCAGUAAGUUAAUACCUUGCUGUUUUGACGUUACCAACAGAAGAAGCACCGGCUAACUUCGUG